rnacentral:rRNA from 1 species
AACGAACGCUGGCGGCAUGCCUAACACAUGCAAGUCGAACGAGAUCUUCGGGUCUAGUGGCGCACGGGUGCGUAACGCGUGGGAAUCUGCCCUUUGGUUCGGAAUAACAGUUGGAAACGACUGCUAAUACCGGACGAUGACGAACGUCCAAAGAUUUAUAGCAAGAGGAUGAGCCCGCGUAGGAUUAGCUAGUUGGUGUGGUAAAGGCGCACCAAGGCGACGAUCCUUAGCUGGUCUGAGAGGAUGAUCAGCCACACUGGGACUGAGACACGGCCCAGACUCCUACGGGAGGCAGCAGUGGGGAAUAUUGGACAAUGGGCGAAAGCCUGAUCCAGCAAUGCCGCGUGAGUGAUGAAGGCCUUAGGGUUGUAAAGCUCUUUUACCCGGGAUGAUAAUGACAGUACCGGGAGAAUAAGCUCCGGCUAACUCCGUGCCAGCCGCCGCAGUAA